rnacentral:lncRNA from 1 species
AGACUGCAAAAUAUAAACAUUGCAGGUUUUCUUGCAGAUACUGAAGGGGGUGGUGAGGUCAAGUACACAGCUAAGUAUUAUCCUUUAACUGAUAAUGCAGGCUCAGGGAUAGAUGUUCAGUGGUGCUCCAGUAGUUAUCACAUCUUGUCAUUGUCUUUCCUCUGCUGCAUUUUUUCUUUCCUACUUGAAUCUGUAAAACCUCAAGUUGCAAUAAAAAAAUUAAAGGAGGAUUUACCUGACCUCUGCUCAGCCCUCCUGAUACAAAAUGCAGUGGAGCUCCCACACAUGCAAUACAUGAUUUCUUUCAGCUUACAUGCUUUUAGCACACAGAAAGUAAGAGCGGGCCAAUAGGUACAAACAUGGUAUUGAUGUGUGAUAAAUGCACAAAUAUUCAUAGUUCUACAAUUAUUGCCAAAUUUACAAGUGUCCUGUAUAAGUAUUUAUAAUGUGUGUUAAUUGAUUUAUAUAUCCUGAGUUCAAAACAUAACUAAUUUGAACAAUUGGCCUGAGCCACUUGGUCCAACAGCACCAUCAGAAUUACGAACUGCUGAGGAUAGGCAACAAAUACCAGAAAGUGAUAACCAUGCAUAGCUCCAGGAUCAAAAGUUGAAGAUAUCAACUUUGUAGCUCUGCCUGUCUUCUCUGUUGCUGAAUACUACCAAGUUUUUCUACUCUCCUCUCCUGAUUCUUUAAAGAAAAAUGAUGACCAUGAAGAAGCACAAGCUGUGAAGUAGAUUUUAUAGAGAGUGCUCAGUUCCUUAGACAAAGAGGAUGAGAUCCCUCAGAACAAGUAUAUGUCUGAAGAAACGUCUCUCAGUUGAAGAUCCUGUUCCUUCUGCUCCAUCCUCUCUAUAGGCAAAAGAGGCCAGGAUGUGCUGAACACUCACGACCUUAAGCAAAAAAAACAGUGUUAACAUUAAGCUCCAGAAAUCCAGACAAAAUCACAAUAGUUGCCCUACACAUACUAAAUCUCUCUAUGCCUUCUUGCCCUUUUAUAACAAUAGCUUCACUGUAACUUGAAUGCAGUGAAUUAUGUGCUGUGCACGCUGUAGUCAUACAUCAAAGGAAAUAAAAAAGAAUUUAAUUUUCA